rnacentral:rRNA from 1 species
UUUCGCAAUGCCCGAAAGGGUGACGAAGCGACGCCGCGUGUGGGAAGAAGGCCUUCGGGUUGUAAACCACUGUCGGGAGUUAAGAAAUGUAAGGGUGUUAAUAGUAUCCUUACUUGACUAAGGCUCCGGAGGAAGCCACGGCUAACUCUGUGCCAGCAGCCGCGGUAAUACAGAGGUGGCAAGCGUUGUUCGGAAUUAUUGGGCGUAAAGAGCACGUAGGUGGGUUUGCAAGUCAGAUGUGAAAGCCUCCUGUUCAACGGGAGAAUUGCAUCUGAAACUGCAGAUCUUGAGUGUAGGAGGGGAGAAUGGAACUUCUGGUGGAGCGGUGAAAUGCGUAGAUAUCAGAAGGAACGCCGGCGGCGAAAGCGAUUCUCUGGCCUAUUACUGACACUCAGUGUGCGAAAGCUAGGGGAGCAAACGGGAUUAGAUACCCCGGUAGUCCUAGCCGUAAACGAUGGGCACUAAGUAGAGGGGUUUUA